GUUUGAAAUCUUGGAAAGAAAUGGACUUGGAAGAACUGCAGUAUUCUACAGCAGUGGGGGAUGGACAAAAAAGGAACACAGAACUUUGGAGAGAGAGGGGGAAGUGAGUUAAUCCAUCAGUUGGGAAAUGAACUUCUGUCUGGAAACACACAUCAGAGCGGUUGGCUGAGGCUAAUUCCCUGAUCUAGUGAUCUCUUUCUCUGUGAUUCCUGAUCUAGAUUUCAUAAGAAGACAAGCCAAUUGGACAGGAGUUUGAAACACAAGCUGUCCACUAAAGAAAAAGAUUUCCAUCAACCUCCUUGAUGUUUGAACUUGGGGACACUCACUAUGCUGCCGGGAACCAGAGUCUCUUACUCUGACCCCAAGGAGUCAGGUGCCCAACACUGAGGUAGUUGAGUGCUACAAACAUGGAAGAAAUAUAUAAAUCAAUGUCAUAGUCGUCAAUGAGUUCACAGUCUGGAAAUAUGAGACUGAUAAGGAAACAAAUGGAGAAAAAUGCAGAGCAGGAGAGCUGGCACUUAAUGAUGGGACUUCAUGUUUAAUGAGUUGACGAUGUGCUUAGCUUCUGAAUCCAGACAAGUUGUAGGAGUUCAGAGGCAGGAGGCAUUCCUGAGAACCUCCACAGUUUGGGGAGCCCUGGGGAGUGCUUGGAUGAGUAGAACUGAAAGGACAUUGGUACGGUGAAGAUAACAGAAGAAAAGAGGUUUAGUUCUAAAGCUAAAUGUUCUAGCAUGGAUGACGUCUGUGACCUCUGAUCCAAGGUUCCUUUGGAAACCCGCCUGCGCUGUGUGCUGGUAAUUAAUUCCACGAUAGUUGUUCAACAUUGUGAGAUGAAAUAUCGUUAUCUAUCUCACUUAUUUUUGUCUCCCGGAUCUAUUUUGGGAAGCAGAUUCUUAGAUCAGCAAUUAGAAAUGUCACUUGCAUUUUCUUUAUGAUUUGCAAAGUGUAUAAUUGAGAAUAGUAAUCAAAUUCUUUGACAACUUCAGCAGUACAAAAAUGGCAAUUAAUUGUAAAUUUUGGAAGGCAUGGAUAAUAUUUGUCUAUUUUAGAACAUCUUGCUGAUCAGCAACAAACCUCUCUCUCUCUCUCUCUCUCUCUCUCUCUCUCUCUCUCUCUCUCUCUCUCUCUCUCUCUCUCUCUCUCUCUCUCUCUCUCUCUCUCUCUCUCUCUCUCUCUCUCUCUCUCUCUCUCUCUCUCUUUCUUUCUCUCUCUCUCUCUCUCUCUCUCUCUCUCUCUCUCUCUCUCUCUCUCUCUCUCUCUCUCUCUCUCUCUUUCUCUCUCUCAACUCCUAUAGUCAGGAUGGACUUUUAAAAGAAAAAAACUUUGUUUAGAAAAGAAGAAAGUAGAUUCAAGGAAAAUGAAUGACCAGGUCAAGCCCACAUAAAUAGUUCAGCUGUCCUCUCUCUAGGACAUCUUUCCCAACGUUUCCAGCCAGAAGUGACUGCUUCCUUCUUCAAUCCCCUCCUAGCACUUCUGCCUCCCUGAAAUUCUCAUUAGCAUUAGGUACUUGUGUCACUCUAGUUCCUAUAUUUCAUGGAAUGGUCAUUCCCUAGCCUUACACCAGCACACAGCAGGAGCUUAAUAAAUACCUGUUGAUUGAUUGUUGAUGGAUUGUG
ensembl:lncRNA